AUUGAACGCUGGCGGAAUGCUUUACACAUGCAAGUCGAGCGGCAGCGCGGCCUUCGGGCUGGCGGCGAGCGGCGAACGGGUGAGUAAUGCAUCGGAACAUGCCCAGUCGUGGGGGAUAACACUUCGAAAGAAGUGCUAAUACCGCAUACGUCCUGAGGGGGAAAGCGGGGGAUCGCAAGACCUCGCGCGAUUGGAUUGCCGGAUGUCAGAUUAGCUAGUUGGUGGGGUAAAGGCCUACCAAGGCGACGAUCUGUAGCUGGUCUGAGAGGAUGAUCAGCCACACUGGGACUGAGACACGGCCCAGACUCCUACGGGAGGCAGCAGUGGGGAAUUUUGGACAAUGGGGGCAACCCUGAUCCAGCCAUUCCGCGUGAGUGAAGAAGGCCUUCGGGUUGUAAAGCUCUUUCGGCAGGAACGAAACGGUGGGCUCUAACAUAGUCCGCUAAUGACGGUACCUGAAGAAGAAGCACCGGCUAACUACGUG
rnacentral:rRNA from 1 species